rnacentral:rRNA from 1 species
GAGUUUGAUCCUGGCUCAGGACGAACGCUGGCGGCGCGCCUAACACAUGCAAGUCGAACGAGCGAGAGAGAGCUUGCUUUCUCGAGCGAGUGGCGAACGGGUGAGUAACGCGUGAGGAACCUGCCUCAAAGAGGGGGACAACAGUUGGAAACGACUGCUAAUACCGCAUAAGCCCACAGCUCGGCAUCGAGCAGAGGGAAAAGGAGCAAUCCGCUUUGAGAUGGCCUCGCGUCCGAUUAGCUGGUUGGUGAGGUAAUGGCCCACCAAGGCGACGAUCGGUAGCCGGACUGAGAGGUUGAACGGCCACAUUGGGACUGAGACACGGCCCAGACUCCUACGGGAGGCAGCAGUGGGGAAUAUUGCACAAUGGGGGAAACCCUGAUGCAGCGACGCCGCGUGGAGCAAGAAGGUCUUCGGAUUGUAAACUCCUGUUGUUGAGGAAGAUAAUGACGGUACUCAACAAGGAAGUGACGGCUAACUACGUGCCAGCAGCCGCGGUAAAACGUAGGUCACAAGCGUUGUCCGGAAUUACUGGGUGUAAAGGGAGCGCAGGCGGGAAGACAAGUUGGAAGUGAAAUCUAUGGGCUCAACCCAUAAACUGCUUUCAAAACUGUUUUUCUUGAGUAGUGCAGAGGUAGGCGGAAUUCCCGGUGUAGCGGUGGAAUGCGUAGAUAUCGGGAGGAACACCAGUGGCGAAGGCGGCCUACUGGGCACCAACUGACGCUGAGGCUCGAAAGUGUGGGUAGCAAACAGGAUUAGAUACCUGGUAGUCCACAUCGUAAACGAUGAUUACUAGGUGUUGGAGGAUUGACCCCUUCAGUGCCGCAGUUAACACAAUAAGUAAUCCACCUGGGGAGUACGACCGCAAGGUUGAAACUCAAAGGAAUUGACGGGGGCCCGCACAAGCAGUGGAGUAUGUGGUUUAAUUCGACGCAACGCGAAGAGCCUUACCAAGUCUUGACAUCCUGCGACGCACAUAGAAAUAUGUGUUUCCUUCGGGACGCAGAGACAGGUGGUGCAUGGUUGUCGUCAGCUCGUGUCGUGAGAUGUUGGGUUAAGUCCCGCAACGAGCGCAACCCUUACUGUCAGUUACUACGCAAGAGGGCUCUGGCAGGACUGCCGUUGACAAAACGGAGGAAGGUGGGGAUGACGUCAAAUCAUCAUGCCCUUUAUGACUUGGGCUACACACGUACUACAAUGGCGUUAAACAAAGAGAGGCAAGACCGCGAGGUGGAGCAAAACUCAGAAACAACCUCCCAGUUCGGACUGCAGGCUGCAACUCGCCUGCACGAAGUCGGAAUUGCUAGUAAUCGUGGAUCAGCAUGCCACGGUGAAUACGUUCCCGGGCCUUGUACACACCGCCCGUC